rnacentral:sRNA from 1 species
GCUGGGUGAGGUGGUGCACGCCUGUAAUCCCAGCAGCUCAGAAGGCUGAGGCAGGAGGAUCACGAGUUCAAAGCCAGCCUCAGCAAUGGCGAGGCACUAAGCAACUCAGUGAGACCCUGGCUCUA